UACAGAGGGUGCGAGCGUUGUCCGGAAUCACUGGGCGUAAAGAGCUCGUAGGUGGUUUGUCGCGUUGUUCGUGAAAACUCACAGCUCAACUGUGGGCGUGCGGGCGAUACGGGGCAGACUGGAGUACUGCAGGGGAGACUGGAAUUCCUGGUGUAGCGGUGGAAUGCGCAGAUAUCAGGAGGAACACCGGUGGCGAAGGCGGGUCUCUGGGCAGUAACUGAC
rnacentral:rRNA from 1 species